UACGUAGGGUGCGAGCGUUAAUCGGAAUUACUGGGCGUAAAGCGUGCGCAGGCGGUUCGUUGUGUCUGUGGUGAAAGCCCCGGGCUUAACCUGGGAAUGGCCAUGGAAACUGGCGAGCUGGAGUGUGGCAGAGGGGGUGGAAUUCCGCGUGUAGCAGUGAAAUGCGUAGAGAUGCGGAGGAACACCGAUGGCGAAGGCAGCCCCCUGGGCUAACACUGACGCUCAGGCACGAAAGCGUGGGGAGCAAACAGG
rnacentral:rRNA from 1 species